rnacentral:rRNA from 1 species
AUUGAACGCUGGCGGCAGGCCUAACACAUGCAAGUCGAACGAGUGGCGGACGGGUGAGUAAUGUCUGGGAAACUGCCCGAUGGAGGGGGAUAACUACUGGAAACGGUAGCUAAUACCGCAUACCAUCGGAUGUGCCCAGAUGGGAUUAGCUAGUAGGUGGGGUAACGGCUCACCUAGGCGACGAUCCCUAGCUGGUCGGAGAGGAUGACCAGCAACACUGGGACAGAGAAAAGGCCCAGACUCGUACGGGAGGCAGCAGGGGGGAAUAGUGCAAAAGGGGCGAAAGCCGGAGGCAGCCAUGCCGCGUGGAUGAGGAAGGCCUGCGGGUUGUAAAGUACUUUUGGGGGAGAAGCGGUACCUGCAGAAUAAGCACCGGCUAACUACGUGCCAGCAGCCGCGGUAAUAC